rnacentral:rRNA from 1 species
GAUCAUGGCUCAGGAUGAACGCUAGCUACAGGCUUAACACAUGCAAGUCGAGGGGCAGCAUGGUCUUAGCUUGCUAAGGCUGAUGGCGACCGGCGCACGGGUGAGUAACACGUAUCCAACCUGCCGAUAACUCCGGAAUAGCCUUUCGAAAGAAAGAUUAAUACCGGAUAGCAUACGAAUAUCGCAUGAUAUUUUUAUUAAAGAAUUUCGGUUAUCGAUGGGGAUGCGUUCCAUUAG